UACAAAAAAAACUUGUUCCAGAUGUGGUACAAGUUAGUACCAGAAUGAUGGGAAGAGAAGAGUAUGGAGAAGGAAAGGGAGGGCUCAUGAUCCGAAGCAUACCAUAUCAUCUGUUAAACAUGGUGGAGGGAGUGUUAUGGCAUGGGCAUGUAUGGCUGCCAGCAGAACUGGGUCACUGGUGUUUAUUGAUGAUAUGACUGCUGAUUAGCAGGAUUAAUUCUGAAGUGUAUAGAGCUAUACUUUCUGCUCAGAUUCAGUCAAAUGCUGCAAAACUGAUAGGACAACAAUUCACAGUACAGAUGGAUAAUGACCCAAAAUAUACUACGACAGCAACCCAAGAGCUUCCUAAGGCACAGAAAUGGAAUGUUCUUAAAUGGCAGAGUCAGUCACCUAACUUGCCAACCGAGCAUGCAUUUCACUUACUGAAGACAAAACUGAAGGCAGAAAGACCCACAAACAAACAGCAACUGAAGACAGCUGCAGUAAAGGCCUGGCAAAGCAUCUCAAGGGAGCAUAAAAUCAGCAUUUGGUGAUGUCCAUGGGUUCCAUACUUCAGGCAGUCAUUGGUUGCAAAGGAUUUGCAUCAAAGUAUUAAAAAUAAUCCUUGUAUUUAUAAUUGUUAGUUUGUCCAAUUACUUUUGAGCCUGUGAAAAUGGAGGGACUAUGUAAAAAUGGCUAUAAUUCCUGAACAGUUACUGCCCUUUGAAUUAAAGCUGAAAUUCUACACUUAAAUCACAUUUUGAUUGCUUCAUUUCAAAUCCAUUGUAGUGAUGCACAGAGGCAAAAUUAUUAAAAUUGUGUCACUGUUCAAAUACUUAUGGACCAGACUGUAUAUAUGUAUAAAGUGAUACUUGAUUUGUGUCUAAUGAAUUGUGAUUAUGUGUGAAAAUCACAAAAUAAUGUAAAAGCUGGAAUUAAAGUAGCUCAUGUAACAUAUGGUCAUGGUUAAAUAGUAUCAACCCCAAUACUGGUUUCCAGUGCAUCAUCGGAAAAGAUUGCAAAUUUAGUCAUACACAUAUAUUCUUGCUCUUAAUGGAUUAAAAUUUUUGGAAUUUUUGGAGAAAGGCUAUGAUUAUGACUACAGUCAUAUGACAUCAGUUGGUGAAAUUAAAUCAGCCAAGCAAACCCAUUGAAUUCCUGGAUUUUCUCCCUUUUUUCCCUUUGUUGCUUUUUGUAGAAAUGCUUAUAAAAUGUGUAAAAUAUAAAACAUAAAAUAUGGCACUUUAUUAAAUGCUGAUCAUGUGGUAAAUGAAAAAUAACAUUAUAAUGGUAAACUGCAUGAUCACUGACCUUUGCAUUAAAUGCAUUAAGUGCACUAAAUAAAGCUAAUCCAAAACUGAAUUAGAUUCAGUGAUAGAGCCAAAAUUAUUUGCUUUACUAUUGUUUUUUCCUCUUCUGGGACAUGCACACAUAUUAUAUAGAAUAAGCCGAAUCCAACAAACACUCUAGUUACAAACACCCUAGUAAAAAACAAAAAAAAAAAUGAGAAGUGGUCACCACUGGAGCGCAACAAUUUGACAAUGUUCAACAUGGGAAUGUGCAGUUCACAUUGUGGGAAUCAGCAUUCUAUUAAUAAUGCAUCUAAUGCAAUUGCACUGUUUGAACACCAGAGGUCCUGCACAAAACAUAGAGUUAAAAUAUGAGCCUGAUAGCUCCAGAUCACAAUGACCGACAGGCAUUAUAGGUCAUAUGGUUACAUGACCAAGUUAUAACAGUUAAAAAUAGCUCUUCAGUAGCAUCCACGCAACACUAACCCACACUACAAUCUACGAAGCCCAAGAAAGAGGCUGUGGAACCCAGGCAUUGACUUUGGAGCUCUAUUUCUGGUUAAAAUGAUGCUUCAGGUGCUGCUACAGAGCUCAUUAUGUUUCACCUCAUCAUUUUCCCCAGGUCUGCAUAACAAAAGAAAAGUGUAACAGUGGACUGUCAGCCUGCGCAGAAAGAAAGAAAAGCACUCCUCGCACAACUGCCACCAUGGUGCUGAAAGAACAGCUUCGCUUCAGCACACCUUCUGUUUUGGACAGCCCGACAGCGUGUGGCUGCAAGGCAAGGCAGCUAAAACACACAUGGUUGGUGGCUAAUGAUUACAACGGCUCCACAAUCUCAGUGACUUUCCUUAAUAAAAGAGCACUAUUUUUCCUGCAGUCCACCUCCUGUGUGUUUGUGCUCAGCCUGCUGCUACCUAGAGUCGCUACAAAAGUUUCCCUAAAUUGUUUUCUUUAAACCAAAGUUUUAAAUGGUCUAAAAGUUUAGGACAUCAAAUAGAAUAUGUAAUCAGCCAGACUUCACUGUCUUUUGUGCUGACUUCCCACUAUUUGCAUGAUCCUCCCUCAAAUGUAUACAGUAUGUAUGAGGGAGGGAAAUGCAGGUGUUAGAUGGACUAGACCUUUUCAAUGGGAACUGGCUUUGCUAUUGAGGGAGACACUUAAUUCACAUGCAGGAUAUGCCUACAGUUUCUCUUUGAGUGUAGGGUAUGUGAGGUGGGGAAUUUAUUACUAUUAAAUUAAAUAUUAGAAAUGAUUAUUAUUUUAAUAACCAGUCCAAUGGACAAAAUAAUGAAAGAAUGAGAAAAGAAUGAGAUCAUACUGAUUAUCUGCUGAUAGGUCUCGUUAUCAGCUGCCUUGACUUCUGCAAGCAAGAAGAAAUUUGAUCUUUGGAAUUGAGUAAAGUAGUAUCUGACUGGGUAAAACGACAUUUUUAAUUCUAGACUUGAACAGAGUAUAUAUGACUGGGUGACAGGAAUUUUUAAUACUGUAAUUGAAUAAUGUAUCUGUUACUUUUCUGUGCAUGUCAGCAGAAAGUUCCCCCAGCAUAAAGACCAACCAGAGAGUCUGUCCCUCAAACACACCCCUCGCAGCGAGCGGAAUUAUCAUUAUUUAGCUAAGAUGCAUACUUUGCUAUCUGUCUAAUUUUCUCUGUUAAAAAAAAAAAAAGAAAAUAUCUUUAUAUACUUUAAAUAUUAUAUGUAUUUUAUUUAUGUUACUGAAAUUUGUAUGUCCCUUAAGUGAAUAUUUUUACUAGACAUGGUGUCCGGCAGGAUCUUAAUUUGCCAGUCAUUCAGAGUUUUUACUGGUCAAAUACUGGUUUGUCCAGUAUUUGUCCAGUAAAAACUACAAAUACAAUUUACCAGCUAACAGAAUCCCUGCAUGAGAUAUGACUUAGUGAUGGUUGCAUCACCAAGAUAAGAAAUAGUAAUAAAUUGCCUAUUACCCAAUGGAUAUUUGAUUUACAUAAAAUUAAGUGAAUCUGUUGACAGUUUGUAGAACUCAUUUGUGACAAGAGAGAAAUAGUAAAACAUACAAAGUUUAAUAAUAAAAAGAAAGCUAUGCAUCAGUAUAAUACAAACGUAUGUAUAUGGCAAUGAAAACAUAUAUAAAUGUAGUGAAAUAGCUGACAGACAAGUUCUCCUGUGUCUACGUCUUGCAACGGUGGAGACUUGGCUGAGAUCAAGGUAGGAUCAGCCAGAAUUAAGAAUUGAAAACAUGACUCUGAAGUUGAUGAUCAGAGAUCCAGGUGGAUGGAAAUCUAAUGCCUAACUCACUGAUGUUUGGGUAAGUCCAUCUCAAGUAGUCCAAUAAUUGUAAAGUUGAUUGCUUGACCGUUUUUAAUUUUAUUUAUUUAUUUAUUUUUGUUGAGAGAUUACCUCUACGUAUUGGCAUUACAAAACCACCAGUUUUUUUAUUAUUUCACUUGGUUUAACCAUGAUUUUGUUUACAGAAACCUCAGUAUCUCGGCUCAGGAUGGUCUUCGCUCCUUGGAACAAAAACUGAUCUCUAGAACACAUUAUGCACAUUCUUGUUCAUUAGACUUAGAACAUAAGUCCUAAUAUAAUGCUCAAGAUUGCUCACAGUUCCACUAUUAUGGUCAAUUUAUAUUGCGAUAUUGCCAAAAAAAAAAAAACCACGAUUUUUUUCAACUUUAUGAACAAUUCUCAAUUACGAUUUCAAUUUUUUUUUGUUCUUACAUAAUGCAGUUGAAAAAUUACACAAUUUGUUUAUAAAUUUAUUGUUUAUUAGAAUGGACUUUGGAAAAAUAGUAACAGCACCAUCUAUAGCAAAUAGUGCAAACAAUUGUUCUUUUAAAUAUUAAAAAAAAACAUUAUUUGCACUAUUUGCUAUAGGUAUCACUGUUACUAUUUUUGCACAACUUGGUGAACCCUUCUUUCUCAACAGAGUAAAUGGGGACCAUGUCUUUCGUGACAUGAAAUGUCACUGCAACUGAGAAGUUAACUUGGGGUAUUCUUCUCAAAUCCGAGUUCCUUCCCUGUUUAUGGAGUGACAUCAAAUCAGCAUGGUUGCACACAGCAUCAGAAAUAAACAAAGUAAAACGUCUUACCUUUAAGUGAGUUAUACUGUAUAUACAAGUAUUAGCUUUAGAUUAAUCAACAUACACACAUAUUCGUUUGUUAAAUCUAAAACACUGACCACACAGUUUGCUGGUUGAGAAAGAAAAUAUACAUCCCUCAUCCGAGUUAUCUGCCUAGCUUGUUGCUGACAGAUACAAACAGGGGGGAGUCAAUUUUCCCACUUCAUCUAUCGAAUGUGCCAAGGUCAAAAAUGACGUAAUUCCGACCAGCGAAUUACCACUUAGAUGUAAGGCAGCAUUAUAUUUUACAUACACUUGUUCAUCUGAUUUUUCAAACCUGUACCAAAUCUAUAUCCCUGAAGUGAUAUUUGAAACUUUUGCUACGAGCACAGUUCUCAGUGAAGUGCUGCCUGUUUAACUUGGAUUUUUUUUUUUUUUUUUAAUCUAAGCAUGCAGUGUUUGGGAAUAGCACAGGCUGUACCCAGCAAACAUGCCUGUGUGGGCCCACCGUGGGCAGGUGUGGGUUUAUUGUGGGGCAAUGUGGGCAGGGCAAACCUACACUAAUCCCACAUGUAGUUUUGCCCUUUGGGGCCCUUAUUUGGGCUUUCUGUGGGCAACCCACUGUGGUCUUGCCACCAGAAAGCCCACAUGGGCCUCACUGUGGGUUAGCCCAUGUGGGCCCCAGAGCACUUUUGCCCUUUGGGGCCACCAUGAGAGUUUACUGUGGGCAACCCUCCUUGUCAACAGCACAGAACAGUUAAAAAGCUUUAACAUUAGAUGCCAGGGGUACUCAAACCUUUUUAUUUAAGAUCCAUAUGCGAAUGUUGCAUAAAGUCAGAGGUCUGCAACAAUGACAGUAAAAUGUAAACAAUAAGUUGUCCAUGGCAUAACAAAAAUGUACAUUCAACAGCAAACAGCCUGUUUAGUAUGAAAUUCCCUCUUUUUGUUUCACUGGCAGAUCCAGGGUUGGGGCCAGUGGGGCAUUGGCCGUAGCCUAAAUCUGACUGGCUCCCGAAGUGCCCCUGUCCAGUCACUCAUUGCUGAUCUACAUCAAAGCACUCCAUUGGCUGAGUUGGUUGGUUUGAAAUUCAACCUGUGUAACCGCUUUUUUUUCGUAACAGCUGCUGCUCAGACAGUGCAUUUUCAUCAUCCUUGUCCACUUAAGCUUCAACAUUAAGUACCUAUUCAACACUUUAACUAACGUCUCAAAGGACAUUAGUGUUGCUGUUACUUAACUUCUCUUUUCUAACGUUAGGAAGCUAGUUAGCUACAACAACACACUAGUUUAGUUUAUUAGCUAGUUACCUAGGCCAAGCAAUUUUGGAUGGUGGCUAGCUAGCUAGCUAGCUGGCUGGCUAAUUAGUUAGCCAUCCAACUAGCUAGCUACCAUCCAACAUUGCUUACACAGCGGCUGACACAUAAAACCUAUAAUGUUUGGUCAUGGCACACAGCCACAGUCAUUAAUUGUUGUAAAUAAAACUAAUGCUGCAUCCCAUGGCAGCUGGGACAGCUGGGCAACUGACAGCUUCAACACAGAGUUCUGACUUGAAUUGAAUGCAGCAAAUCCGUAACGCUAAUCAGUGAAGCUUGUUUACAAAAUUAUUUGAUUAUUUUGCACUGUAGGGCCACCAUAAAGAAGUACUCAGAUUCUUUACUUAAGUAAAAGUAAUCAUGAUGUCUGAGUCAUAUGACCGACACAGUGUUUCAGGUGAACAGAAUACAGAUAAACAGAAUACAGAGGCUAGAAAGCAAAGGCAUGAAGCACAUGGCAACUUCAACAAUCUGAGGAGCACAUUGUGACAGACUAAGUGCUUCUGUGAAUAUGCAAGGGGGCAUAUCCCCAUAGAGAGACAUUGAAAAGAAUGUUCUCUUGAAAUAAGUUAGAAAAUAAGUUAGUGCAGAACAGUGAGUAACUAGUAGCUAUAGCUGUUAAACAAAUGUAGUAGUUGAGUAAAAAGUACAAUAUUUCUCUCUGAAAUGUAGUGAAGCAGAGGUAGCAUGAAAUGAAAAUACUCAAGUACCUCAGAAUUAUACCUGAAGUAAAUGUACCUAGUUAUAUUCUCUCUGUCUAAAACUAAUUAACAUUGUGCUUACAUACUUUUACAAUCACUAACAGACAUAAUAUGUAUAAAAAGAUAUUUCAUUAGUGAAAUUUUGUUUGCAACAUUUAUGUAUUUUUAUUUACACUAGACCAAACUCAUGUUACCCAGAGUGCCAGUCUACUGAAGAAGAUGACAUAAUCAAACCUUGUACCACCCCCACCAGCUCCACCAGCCCCACCAGUUCCACCAACUCCACCAGCCUGUUCCAUACACGACUCAUCAAGAAGGCUGACAAUUACUCACAUCCAUUGGUGCCCCUGAGGGGAUUGAGUCAUACUUAUUGUGUUCUAAUAUGGUUCUGUGUUCGUUCUAUUUUAUAAAAAGUUGUUGUUAUGUGGUUCUGUUUAAUAAAAAGCAUUCAGUAUUCAAUCCACAUGCACAGUUUUGUACAAAAUUUUCUAUAUUUUCUUCAUUUUUUCUUUUAACCUGGCUGUGAAUAAAUGUAAGUAUUCAAAACAGUUUUAGUUAGUCUUACUUUAUUACUGCUUACUUAAUUACUGCAAUUGUUCUGCAUAUGAAUUAAUAGUAAUGUUGUGGUAUACUGCAGGUACAAAGUAGGACCAAACUAAUUUUGCUAUUUGUUAAAGACCCACAGAGCAUGCCCACGGGGCAUACUGUGGGCCCAGAUCUGUGCCCACAGUAUGCCCAUAGGCUACCCACACGGGCCCACAGUGGCCCCAGACAGGCUUUGGGGGCACGUGUGGGCCCCGCACUAUGGGGCCCAUGCAGCGCCCCAGUGGGACAGCCCACACCCAACCCAAAGUGUGGGCAUAUUGUGGGUCCCACUGGUGCCCAUUAUGGGCCCACUGUAUUCCCACAGUGUGGGGCCACUAUGAGCAGCCCCACUGUUGCCCUCACUGGUGCCCAUUAUGGACCCACUGCAUGCCCACAGUUACUGGCGUGAAAUGCACAUUUGGGGCCUCUACUUAGUGUGGGCAGCCCACACUCAGCCCACACUCAGCCCACAUGUUUGAGCUGUCCCACUGAGGCCCCACCUGGGCCCCAUAGUGUGGGGCCCACACGUUCCCCAAUUGUUUGUCCGCAGUGGCCCCAAAGGGUCAUGUUUACUAGGUAGGAGGCGUUUAUCAGGUUAAGAAGGCUGUGUUUUUCCUUCGUAUUGGUUUAAACUUUUAAAUACAUGUACAUACAUACAUAUACACACACAAACACAUAUAUACAUAUAAUAUGUGUAUGUGUGUGUGUGUGUGUGUACAUGUACAUACAUAUCUCGAUUAGAACAUUUUGAAAAUCAUGCUAAAACUUUAAUUUGAAUUAACCAAAUUAAUCAUGAAAAUCGCCCAGCACUACCUCACUCUGCUCCAUAUAUGUUUCUUUUUCAAUCACAAACAUUUUUUUGUAGCAAGUGGGACACAGUGACCUACCAGGGACAGGUUUAGAGUAUAGUUAAUUCCCUUGGAUAUGUGCUCUAAUUUCUCAUAGUCCUUUUUUAAUAGGAUUUUUUGUGAUAUUCCAAGAGAUCACAACAACUGUUAUAUUUUGAUAGAAAUUUCUUUUCAUGGUACUUACAAACUGAUGGAACAUCACAUCCUACCCCUGAACACAGUAACUCCUUUUCUUCUGAGCUGUAGUCACUUACUGCUUUUAUCACAGGAGAAACAACACCAUAGCUCCGUUAUGACACACUUCAUUUGUAAAACACCCACUGAACACUGUAAUUCCAUAUUUAUAUAAAAUCUAUUCAUGCAUACCAACUGUACCAUCAUGAUAGAUCAGAGUUCUUCAAAUCUGGCCCUUGAGGUCCUCUCUCCUACAGAGUUUAGCUCCAACCCUAAUCAAGCACACCUGAGCAAGCUAACCACGGUCUUCUGGAUUACUAGAAAAUUACGGGCAGGUGAGUUUGUAGGUUGGAGCUAAACUCUGCAAAUUGGAAAAACCCUGUGAUAGAUCUUGCUUCACAGUUGCCAAUAUCAAAUGUAGUAACAUUUGAUAUUUGAACCUUUUGAACCUAUUGCUACAUUUGAUGUAGCAACAUUGACAAGCAUAAGCUAUUGUAUGUCAAUCAUAAACAUAACUAUUGUAAAAUACUGUUCAUUUUUAUUAUUUGUUAUGCUUAUAUUACAUCUGUUUAUUUCCCAAAAUGCAUGAAUAAAGUAGGCUUUGCCCCAGAUUUCUACUAGCUGUAGCUCUGUAACCAGUGGAACCUCAAACUUAAUUUUUUUACAGCAGAAUGCUACUAUAGAGGACUUAUUUCUAUAAAAAUUAUAGGCUCGUAUCUGGUCCCCCACUGGAGUUAUUCAAUAUCUAGGAGUAUGAGUUAAUUUAAAGGGGUAAUUGAAGUCAGGUGUUUCAAUCAAGGGGAUGGCAAUCAGGUGUGCAUUUAGCAGGCCCUCACAUGUUUCAAGAACAUAAACUUGGGUCUUCACUAUCAGUCUGGUCUUCACCACACAGGUUUAUGGAAGUGUUCCAUGCCGUGUCUGGUCCAUGGGCUGUAUGUUGUGCAUCCCUGCAUUAAGGGCUGUAUACAGCUGAUAUAAGAGUCGCUGAUAUAAGUCUAAAAGUUACUUCAAUUUUUACAUGUAUUGAGAGACAUGUUAGGCAGCUGCAUAAGUCGAUUUUCUGGGUGCAUAUUUCUGAUGAAAAACACCUGUAUGUAUGUAGUUCAUGCAUCUGAGGUGGGCAGAUUUUUCUUGAGUCAAGGUGUCCGAGAUGAGGUUUUAAUAGUGUAUAGACCACCAGCCUUAAAUACAAGCACUUGCCUUUUAAGCCUGAAAAAAAUUGGGGGAUAGAAAAUGUUCGCUGAAUAAGCAGAUAGAAUAAAAAUUCUAAUCGAUGUGUCGAUGUACGAGUGAAAAGAUGGUAAGCAUUCAAGUAGCUAUAAUCUAAAAAUCUGUUAUUUUAGUUUGAUGUGCUUUCCUGUAUAAAACAAUGACGUCCUACAAGUGGGAAAAUGUCCUUGUGUCCUUUAAGGGACCAUGAUAUUAAUAAAUUAACAGCAUCAAAUUUGUGUAUUGUGUAUUGGCCUCAAAUGGCAUUCCAUAGAUUUGCACUCACCAGCCAUUUACUAAGAACACAUGUACAGCUGCUCAUUCAUGCAAUUAUCCAAUCAGGUACUCUGGUGAGCUGCUUGACGAAUUUUAUUAUUCUAAUAUCUUCUCUUUCUAAAUUGCUUGGAAACGAAUAUUAGAUGAAUGUGACUCUUAACUUAAUGACUCUAAACAAUUAUAACAAUAUAAAUCAUCGAGCUCCACCUCAAGCAACACUAAAAACCCGGCCGAAGCCAUGGCCAAUGUGGAGUCAGACAACCUGCAGACUAAGGCUGUGUUAAAUCCUAAUGAGGACACUGCUAGCAUGAUUAGCUAAAGCCUAGCUAGUGAACCCGUGGCCGACCCGAACCUGUUAGAAGCAAUGCAGAAUAUGACCGACAACACUGGGAAUGUGAUUGAUACCAAAAGUGUUUUGGAGGCAACUGACAACCAAUCGCUCAAAAUACAGGGUAUGGUGCAGUGAAUUCAAGAAUCUGAGAAGAGGACCGAAGCAGUGAAACACAUGGUGUGCAGAUAGAGCAGCUGGAAAAGCAGGCGCAGGCCAUGGCUGAGAGAUUAGAAGAUUUGGUGAAUCGCAGUCAUCAGAAUCAUGUGCGCAUACCUGGUUUACUGGAAGAUAUGGAGGGCUCCAAUCCUGUUACUUUCUUUGAAAAAUGGGUUCCAGACUAUCUCAACAUUAAAACUAAAGCAGGGCGAGUGAAGUUAAACCGAGCUCAUCGCUCUCUCUGCCCCAAGUCCAGGCUUGAUCGCCACCUUCAUCUCCACAAUUUCACGGACAAACAGAGAGUAAUGGCUGCAGCCAUUAAGUGCUUCACAUCUGAUAAGAAACAAACUGGAAAUAUCAGGAUUUUUCGUUCUUCAACAACUACUUGGAGGCAGCAGUCCAUAAACGGAAGGCAUCUGACAACGUGAAGGUUCAUUUGCGAGCCGUGAAAGUGGAAUAUGCUCUACUAUUCCCUUCCACACUCAGAGUAGCAAUUAAUGGAACACACAAAAAUUUCACUACACCGAAGGAAGCAGCUGCCUUUAUAGAAUCCAUGUAAAAUUCUAUGUUUCAUGUUGUCCCUGACUGUCGCUACCUGGAUUGCUGGUAUGCUUUAGAAAGUUAUUUGCAACUGGAUUUCGCACUCAGAUAUGUGAAUUAAUAGCUACAGACAUUUUAAAAGUUUGUGUUUGAAACAAAGCAUUCUCUUCGAAUUCAAGGUAUGACAAUUUGUAUUCACUUUACUGACUACGUCUUCCAAGGUGUGUAUAAUUUGUCACGCAAACUGAACAGGAGACUGGUGUUUUACAUAUGAUGUAAAGUUGUUGGUUAAAAACUAUUCAGGAAGAGAUGGUUCUUAUAAACUGUUCUGUUACACUACAAGAAUGGAGAAAAAACCCUUGCUUGUUAUUUGAUAGGGAGAACCCCCUUUAUGUGCUUAUAUAUGUUAUAGGUUUUUUUUAAUUAUUGUUAUCAGCUCGAUAAAUAUUUAAUGAAUCAGGUAAUUGAGAGUUUUUUUGCAAGUGUCUAGGGCACAUCAUAAUAUAUCUUAGAGGCUUGGGAUGUCUAAGCUAUGUUUAGGUACAUGAUUUGUAAGGGGAAUACAUAACCCAGUAAAAAGAAAGAAAAUGAUCUAUUGCCUUAAGAAAGUUCUGAUUCAGCUUUAUUGAAGGAAACACCUUUGAACAAACAAGAGCAUGGGAUAUGGGCAGAUUUUUUCCUCUUCGUUUACAUCCAAAAGUGGAGGAGUGGCAAUUCUAAUUAAGAAGAAUGUUCCACUUAAGGUUUUAAAAACUAUUGAGGAUAGUCAUGGACGAUAUUUGAUUUUCAUUAGUCUUUUUUAUGGUAGGAAAAUUGUAUUAAUGAAUAUCUACUUCUCCCUGGGCAACCACCUAAUUUUCUUACCAAAAUAUUUGCAGAAUUUUCUGAGGUUUUUUUUAGAUAAUAUGGUGCUAGCCAGUGACUUUAACUGUAUGUUGAAUCCACUAACUGGUUUCCACACAAAACGGCUUCACCCUCCCCUUUAGCAAAACUAAUUUCAGGUAUAUGUGAUGACUUGGACUAUAUAGAUGUUUGGAGGUCUCUUCUCUAUUCAAAGAAAGAGUAUAAAUUUUUCUCCCCAUUCCAUCAAUGCUGUACUAUGACAGACUACUACUUCAUGCCUAGAACAUCUUUAUAUUCUAUCCUAGCAAGUCAUACUAAUAAUAUAAUAAUUUCUGACCAUGCAAUGGUUACUUUAGAUCUUAAGAUAACAAGUAACAACCUUCUAAUUGAACCUAUACUCAGUAUGUUCAGUUAUUCAUUUCUGAAAUGAAAAGCUACCUGAAACUCUUAGAGACAAGACUGGCUUCAUAAAAGGUCAUUUUUCAAAUAACAUAAGACGUCUUCUUAACACUACGCAGGCUUACAGACACAAUAAAGGAGACUGAACUAAUGCUUUUCUCUCAAUGCAGAGAAAGCAUUUGACUGGAUAGAAGUGUUUUACUUAUUUUUUGUUGAUUGGUCAAACUGUUGUAUCAAGAUCCCAAGGCAUCAAUUAGCUCUAGACUGGAUAGCUUUCCACUGCAUAGAGGAACAAGACAGGGGUGUCCUUUGUCAACUCUGCUCAUUGCACCUGCCAUAGAACCACUGGCUGAAGUGAUUAGGGUGGACUUGGCUAUUGAAGUUUUACAGGUUGGUGAUAUGUGGCAUAAAAUAACUCUCUUUGUAUAUGCCAUGUUAAUAUUUGUUACUAUUCCUGGACUGUCAGUACCAGCAUUUAUUAAUAUCAUUGAUCUAUUUAGUGUUUUCUCAGGUUAUAAAAUCAACCCUGCAAAGUCUGAGGCCAUGACUGUCAGCAGUUUGUAAGCUAUGCCUGAUAUAGACCCUAAAUUUCCUUUUAACUGGUCACCUAAGGAAUUUGUAUAUUUAGGUAUUUUUAUUAGCACAAAAUUUAAUCUGUUAUAUAUUUAAAAAAUUGUUCCUUUGGUUGACAGAAUAAGGGAGGAUCUAAAACACUGGGAUUCCUUACCUAUCUCUUGGAUGGGAUGUAUAACUUUGCUGAAAAUGAAUGUUUUGCUCUCCCUCCGUCUCUCUCUGUCAAGCUACACAUGCUACUCCUGAGAUACCAUUGAUCCUGACCCCUUCUGCUCUCUGGACCUGCCUGAUCCAUCCUGAUGCCCUACUUCUGGUUGGAGUUCUAAUCGGUUAGAGACCGCUCGCUACUGCUGGGGGUGGCCUCACAUGGACGGCCUGAAGAUCAUUGGGAUUGCUGGGGAUGGUGCCACUUGGGACUGUGGAGAUGGCUUUGGACUGUGGUUCAUAUGGGCAGUUGUACUGUGAUUGCUUAGGACUGCGAUUGCUGUGAUGGCUUUGGGGCUGCAGUUGCCGCGAGCAGUUUUGCACUCAGGUCUCCAACAGUGCACAGUGUAUAGGUUCAACAAAACAGACUUCAUGUGAAAACCGUAAUGAAUUUCCUGGUUACACAAUUGCACUAUUUGUCCAUGUAGUACACAAUUAUAGAAGGGAUUUAUUUAUAAUUGUACUAUCCGUUGUCACCCAGAGGAUGAGGACGCGUUCCCUUUUAAGUCUGGUUCCUCUCAAGGUUUCUUCCUCAUAUCGUCUCAGGGAGUUUUUCCUUGCCACCGUCGCCUCUGGCAUGCUCAUUAGGGAUAAAUUUAUAUCCUGAAUGUAUUUAUUUCUGUAAAGCUGCUUUGUGACAAUGUCCCUUGUUAAAAGCACUAUACAAAUAAAAUUGAAUUGAAUUGAAUUGAAUUAUUUGGUAAAAAAACAGUGAGGUUUUUUUUAGUUAUUUUGGGCCUUGAUCUUUGAACUAGUAAUUCUUUGUGUCUCAUUCCUUAGUUGUCCCCAGGACCCCAAUAAAUCAUUUCACUACAUCUCACAUCUAGCCCUUGCCUUUUAACUUAUGCUGUGCUACCUGACCCUAGCCCUCACUUUGGGGCAAAUGGGUGAAGACUCACAGCACAACCACAAAGCCAAAGCCAAAGCUAAGGCUCGCCCACAUUAGUUAGGUGUAUACCUGGAGCCAGGACGCCAGACAUACCAGGUAAAAUUGCAUUAGAAACUUGGAUUAGA